rnacentral:misc_RNA from 1 species
GCGGAGGAAAAGAAACCAACAGGGAUUGCCCUAGUAACGGCGAGUGAAGCGGCAACAGCUCAAAUUUGAAAUCUGGCGUCUUCGGCGUCCGAGUUGUAAUUUGCAGAGGGCGCUUUGGCAUCGGCAGCGGUCCAAGUUCCUUGGAACAGGACGUCACAGAGGGUGAGAAUCCCGUACGUGGUCGCUAGCCUUUACCGUGUAAAGCCCCUUCGACGAGUCGAGUUGUUUGGGAAUGCAGCUCUAAAUGGGAGGUAAAUUUCUUCUAAAGCUAAAUACUGGCCAGAGACCGAUAGCGCACAAGUAGAGUGAUCGAAAGAUGAAAAGCACUUUGGAAAGAGAGUUAAAAAGCACGUGAAAUUGUUGAAAGGGAAGCGCUUGCAGCCAGACUUGCCUGUAGUUGCUCAUCCGGGUUUCUACCCGGUGCACUCUUCUAUAGGCAGGCCAGCAUCAGUUUGGGCGGUUGGAUAAAGGUCUCUGUCAUGUACCUCUCUUCGGGGAGAACUUAUAGGGGAGACGACAUGCAACCAGCCUGGACUGAGGUCCGCGCAUCUGCUAGGAUGCUGGCGUAAUGGCUGUAAGCGGCCCGUCUUGAAACACGGACCAAGGAGUCUAACAUCUAUGCGAGUGUUUGGGUGUCAAGCCCGAGCGCGUAAUGAAAGUGAACGGAGGUGGGAACCUUUCGGGGUGCACCAUCGACCGAUCCUGAUGUCUUCGGAUGGAUUUGAGUAAGAGCAUAGCUGUUGGGACCCGAAAGAUGGUGAACUAUGCUUGAAUAGGGUGAAGCCAGAGGAAACUCUGGUGGAGGCUCGCAGCGGUUCUGACGUGCAAAUCGAUCGUCAAAUUUGGGC